rnacentral:rRNA from 1 species
AGUCGAGCGGAACGAUGAUAGCUUGCUAUCAGGCGUCGAGCGGCGGACGGGUGAGUAAUACUUAGGAAUCUACCUAGUAGUGGGGGAUAGCACGGGGAAACUCGUAUUAAUACCGCAUACGACCUACGGGAGAAAGGGGGCAGUUUACUGCUCUCGCUAUUAGAUGAGCCUAAGUCGGAUUAGCUAGAUGGUGGGGUAAAGGCCUACCAUGGCGACGAUCUGUAGCUGGUCUGAGAGGAUGAUCAGCCACACCGGGACUGAGACACGGCCCGGACUCCUACGGGAGGCAGCAGUGGGGAAUAUUGGACAAUGGGGGAAACCCUGAUCCAGCCAUGCCGCGUGUGUGAAGAAGGCCUUUUGGUUGUAAAGCACUUUAAGCAGUGAAGAAGACUCCGUGGUUAAUACCCACGGACGAUGACAUUAGCUGCAGAAUAAGCACCGGCUAACUCUGUGCCAGCAGCCGCGGUAAUACAGAGGGUGCAAGCGUUAAUCGGAAUUACUGGGCGUAAAGGGAGCGUAGGUGGCUCGAUAAGUCAGAUGUGAAAUCCCCGGGCUCAACCUGGGAACUGCAUCUGAUACUGUUGAGCUAGAGUAUGUGAGAGGAAGGUAGAAUUCCAGGUGUAGCGGUGAAAUGCGUAGAGAUCUGGAGGAAUACCGAUGGCGAAGGCAGCCUUCUGGCAUAAUACUGACACUGAGGCUCGAAAGCGUGGGUAGCAAACAGGAUUAGAUACCCUGGUAGUCCACGCCGUAAACGAUGUCUACUAGUCGUUGGGUCCCUUGAGGACUUAGUGACGCAGCUAACGCAAUAAGUAGACCGCCUGGGGAGUACGGCCGCAAGGUUAAAACUCAAAUGAAUUGACGGGGGCCCGCACAAGCGGUGGAGCAUGUGGUUUAAUUCGAUGCAACGCGAAGAACCUUACCUGGUCUUGACAUAUCUAGAAUCCUGCAGAGAUGCGGGAGUGCCUUCGGGAAUUAGAAUACAGGUGCUGCAUGGCUGUCGUCAGCUCGUGUCGUGAGAUGUUGGGUUAAGUCCCGCAACGAGCGCAACCCUUGUCCUUAGUUACCAGCGGGUUAAGCCGGGAACUCUAAGGAUACUGCCAGUGACAAACUGGAGGAAGGCGGGGACGACGUCAAGUCAUCAUGGCCCUUACGACCAGGGCUACACACGUGCUACAAUGGUAGGUACAGAGGGCAGCUACACAGCGAUGUGAUGCGAAUCUCAAAAAGCCUAUCGUAGUCCAGAUUGGAGUCUGCAACUCGACUCCAUGAAGUAGGAAUCGCUAGUAAUCGCGGAUCAGAAUGCCGCGGUGAAUACGUUCCCGGGCCUUGUACACACCGCCCGUCACACCAUGGGAGUUGAUUGCACCAGAAGUGGAUAGCUUAACCUCGGGGAGGC